rnacentral:rRNA from 1 species
GACGAACGCUGGCGGCGUGCUUAACACAUGCAAGUCGAACGGAAAGGCCCUGCUUUUGUGGGGUGCUCGAGUGGCGAACGGGUGAGUAACACGUGAGUAACCUGCCCUUGACUUUGGGAUAACUUCAGGAAACUGGGGCUAAUACCGGAUAGGAGCUCCUGCUGCAUGGUGGGGGUUGGAAAGUUUCGGCGGUUGGGGAUGGACUCGCGGCUUAUCAGCUUGUUGGUGGGGUAGUGGCUUACCAAGGCUUUGACGGGUAGCCGGCCUGAGAGGGUGACCGGCCACAUUGGGACUGAGAUACGGCCCAGACUCCUACGGGAGGCAGCAGUGGGGAAUUUUGCACAAUGGGCGGAAGCCUGAUGCAGCAACGCCGCGUGCGGGAUGACGGCCUUCGGGUUGUAAACCGCUUGCGCCUGUGACGAAGCGUGAGUGACGGUAAUGGGUAAAGAAGCAGCGGCUAACUACGUG